rnacentral:tRNA from 1 species
GCCACCUUAGCUCAGUUGGUAGAGCAACUGAUUUGUAAUCAGUAGGUCGCCAGUUCGACUCUGGCAGGUGGCU